AUUGAACGCUGGCGGCACGCCUAACACAUGCAAGUCGAGCGGUAGCAGGACUAGUAGCAAUACUAGUUGCUGACGAGCGGCGGACGGGUGAGGGAACACGUAGGAAUCUACCCUCAAGCGGGGGACAACCAAGGGAAACUUUGGCUAAUACCGCAUAAUCUCGAGAGAGUAAAGUUACCCUGUAAGGGGCGACACUUGAGGAGGAGCCUGCGUCCGAUUAGCUAGUUGGUGAGGUAAAAGCUCACCAAGGCAAUGAUCGGUAACUGGUCUGAGAGGACGACCAGUCACACUGGGACUGAGACACGGCCCAGACUCCUACGGGAGGCAG
rnacentral:rRNA from 1 species